AUACGGAGGAUCCGAGCGUUAUCCGGAUUUAUUGGGUUUAAAGGGAGCGUAGGUGGGAUAUUAAGUCAGCUGUGAAAGUUUGGGGCUCAACCUUAAAAUUGCAGUUGAUACUGGUUUCCUUGAGUACGGUACAGGUGGGCGGAAUUCGUGGUGUAGCGGUGAAAUGCUUAGAUAUCACGAAGAACUCCGAUCGCGAAGGCAGCUCACCGGGCCGGAACUGACACUGAUGCUCGAAAGUGCGGGUAUCAAACAGGAUUAGAUACCCUGGUAGUCCGCACAGUAAACGAUGAAUACUCGCUGUUUGCGAUACACGGUAAGCGGCCAAGCGAAAGCGUUAAGUAUUCCACCUGGGGAGUACGCCGGCAACGGUGAAACUCAAAUGAAUUGGCGGGG
rnacentral:rRNA from 1 species